rnacentral:rRNA from 1 species
GUGAACGCUGGCGGUAGGCCUAACCCAUGCCAGUCGAACGGCAGCACAGUAAGAGCUUGCUCUUACGGGUGGCGAGUGGCGGACGGGUGAGGAAUACAUCGGAAUCUACUUUUUCGUGGGGGAUAACGUAGGGAAACUUACGCUAAUACCGCAUACGACCUACGGGUGAAAGCAGGGGAUCUUCGGACCUUGCGCGAUUGAAUGAGCCGAUGUCGGAUUAGCUAGUUGGCGGGGUAAAGGCCCACCAAGGCGACGAUCCGUAGCUGGUCUGAGAGGAUGAUCAGCCACACUGGAACUGAGACACGGUCCAGACUCCUACGGGAGGCAGCAGUGGGGAAUAUUGGACAAUGGGCGCAAGCCUGAUCCAGCCAUACCGCGUGGGUGAAGAAGGCCUUCGGGUUGUAAAGCCCUUUUGUUGGGAAAGAAAAGCAGCAGGUUAAUACCCCGCUGUUCUGACGGUACCCAAAGAAUAAGCACCUGCUAACUUCGU